UGAGGUUGUGCUUGGCUUUUACUGAUGCCUCAAAGGUGUCCACGUUUUCCCGUUCAUACUCUUUCACAUCAGCAGCUACCCUUUCCAGGAUGUCAUCCGGUGAAUUUGAGCGACUGCGUGUACUACUUUGAGGACUGCUUGGUUCAGAUGGCACAGAUAUAUUACUAUCUUCUGUCUGGCCCUUGUAUUUCUGAACAAUUGCUUGCCGCUGUAACCUUCGCUGCCUUAUUUCUGCUUCUUCAUCCUCUUCUUCCAAAUCAAAAUCUUCAAGGUUUUCAUCGGAUGAAGACUCCUGUUCAGCUUUCAUGCCCUCAGAAAGACUACCUUUAAAUUUGUCUUCUUUAACUUUGCUCCUACUCCUACGCCUGUGACCACCACGUGACCUGGACCUCCUUCGAAGGCGAGAUCUACUUCUUCGGCCUCUAUCCCUCCUCCGAGGGGACCUACUCCUCCUUCGUGGAGAUCGGCUACGUCGAAGGGGUGACCGAGACCUCCUCCUAAUGGGCGACCGAGACCUUCUCCGGGACGGAGACCAUCUGCUGGGUGGGCUGAUAUCUUUUGAUCUUUCACGUCUAGACAAAAUAUCAUCUCUGGUUCGCGUUCUGGGAGAUGAAAGACGCCUCCUUUCCGAUUCUCUUCUUUUCCUUUCUGCAGAUCUACUCCUCAGCCUUCUAGCUGGAGAUCGGGUUCGAGAGGGGGAUUUACUCUGUUUAGAUCUACGAUCAUUAAAGAGAGGGGAUCUGCUUCUUCUUGACUUUUCACGUGGCUUAGGAGACAAGCUUCUUCCUUUUGGGCUUCGGCCAGGUCUUCUGGGGGACCUGUUUUCUUUCCCUGAAGAAGCGUCUUUAGAAGGAGAUUUAAUUGGCUUUUUAUCUUUGUCAGUCUCUGAUCGCCUAGAUUUUCUAUCUUUGGACCGCGAUCGUCUAUCUUUGGAUUUGCUUCUGAGUUCUGCUGGAGAUUUGGAUUUUCUGCCGCGAUCUCGACUUUUGCUUUCAUUUACAACUGGAGACUUCCUGCGAUCCCUUGAUUUACUCUUAUCGUCAGCCUUAUUCCUGUCGUCCGGGGGAGAUUUAGACUUCCUAUUUUUCUCCUGAGAUCUUCUUUUAAGCAUUGGAGAUCUUGAUUUCCUCGUCUGAUCUUGAGACUUACUUCUUUUACAGGGGCUUUUGGAUUUUCUCCUCUCUUUUGACUUGCUUCUAGCUGUUUUCUCCUUGAUUCCAUCAACCGCUACCUUGCUUUUCUUUUUGUCAGACCUGUGCCUAGUCCUUUCUUUCGAUUCGCUCUUAUUUCCUUUUUUGGAACUAGCUUUAUUUUCCACAGGUUCUAAUUUCCCCUUAGUGUUUGACUUAGCUGCAGGUCUAGUUCCAUUUCGCGCCUUUUCGUUGAUUUCCCCCUCUUCUUCAGAUCCCGACUCAUAACCUUGUAAUAUUAAUCCCAUACCGGACUGGACUUUGCCUUCCAUUAAUUCAUUUUCGAGUUCAGCUUUCAAUAAAGCUCUUUGUUUCUCCAAGUCUUCCAGAGGAGCUAAAAAAUCAAUUUUAGUUCUUUUAGCUGGUCCGUCUUCCUUGUCAGAGGCAUCAGCUACCUCUUUCCGUUUAUGUUUCUUAUGUUUGUGUCUGUGUUUGUGUUUUUUGUCCUUAUCUUCUUCUGAAGAAUGUUUAUGCUUCUUGUGUUUACUUCGGUGUUUGUGUUUCUUUUUUUUGUGUCGGCUGUGCUUGUUCUGAGGUUGAUCUGCUUCUGACACUUCCCCAUUUUCUUCAUUUGUACUUUUCUCAGAUGCAUUGGCAUCCUCAGCCUCAGGCGCUCGCUGCUCGGGCUCCGCCGCGGCGGCCAUUUUGAACUUCCAAACUCCUUCGCUGCCGCUGGGGAGACGCGGGGCCGCGGCGCACGCGCACCCGGGCCGCCGGGAGGGGUUGGGGAUGGCGGGGUGGCGGCCGCCGGAAGCGAACCCCGCGCGCGGGGCGGGCUGCGAACAGCCGGCACCGCCUUCUGCCCCGGGGCGCGCGGGCGGCGAUGGAGAGCGAAGAGGCGGGAGUGGGCGGGAGAGGUACGGCUGUGCUGCUGCUGCUGCUUCGUUGGCUGUGGUUAAGACGACCUGGAGAGGGAAGCGGGGCCUAGGAAGGACUCUAAUCAUUCUUUUCUUGGUUUGCCCACCGGCUCCGCCUGAAGAUGAAUGAAUUUAAUUGCGAACGCGCUGUGCUCCGUCAGCGAAGCCAAUGAAAUAAAACCUCCAGGCGAUACCCCGCUGUGUCUGAGGGCUCGGAACCCAUGCUGCUGGCCCGGUACAAGCGCUGCUUGUUCCAGCAUCAGAAGCAAGAUCACAGCACACCUGACCUCGAGUGUCUCCAGGGAUGGGGCAUCCACCACCAAUCUGGGUUUCUUUUAUCUACACUGACAAUGGGAACUGGAAAUUCUACUGAAGAAAUCAAGUGAUCAUUGAAAAUCAUGGUUCUCCUCUGCUUUCUCACUGUUUUUUUUUUAAAAAGCUGCUUUUUUUAUGGCAACAAGUAUAUCAAAAAUGGUAGUGACUUUCCAAGUGUUACUGUUGUCAUUAUUACUUGUGCUUAUUUCACCUUGUUUUUCUCUUUGUGCUGAGUAGCACUGUAGUAAUUUUGCAAUGAAAGUGUGCAUUCAAAAUGAUGAUUUGUUCUUUUAGAGUGUUUGUAAAUGGCAGUUCAAUAUUGCUGUGAGUCAUCUGCCUAUUUACUGUGUUUAUAAUACAUGUGGAACUAAAAAGAGUAACUAUUUCCUCAAUGUUAACUGUAUUCAACAACAUUAGAUCUAAUUCUGCCCCACUGUAAAAAUCAAAUGUCUUGUCUAGCUCUUCUGAGAAGCUUUUUUUCUCCCAUGUGAGUUUUUUCACAAGCACAAUACAGAAUGAUCUGCAAGGUUUUCUCUUAUUGGACUGAUUUAUGAAGAUUAUGCUAUUUCAAAAGUCCCUUUAAAACCGUCUUUUACCUGGAAGUAUCUGAAGCCUUUUUCCGUCACUGAGGGUAAUGUGAAAAUACUGGCUGAUACUGUACCUCUGGGGUUCUUUUUGGAUUAGUUCACUUAAUAUAUUUCUUAAUUUCUAGAGUGGAGGUUAAAUAUCAAAUGAGAAAUCACAAAACAUCUCCAUCCCUUUUGUGUUCUAUUUGUGGUUAAGUACUCAGAUCCAGACAGGAGGUUAAUGGACGUUUCAAUCAAAUUCAUUAGAAGUAAGCAAACGAGAGGGAGGAAGAGAUGAAAGCUGAAGAUAAUCCCUUGUGGUCCAACCCAAAAGCAACUAGAAAGAGGAAUUCAAGUGGAUUUUCACGCAGUACCUGUAAUAGGCAUGGCCCAUAUUGUAGUAAAAAUUGCUCUUCUGUUUGUUUUAAUGUCAGUAGUUGUGUCGAUCCCUAUUAUAGAACAAUUAAUUGUGGCACACUUGUUUAUUUAGUGCCUGCAAGCUUACUUAUUUUAACAAGAAAGCUUUCUGCAGGUAACCUGAACAGAAAUAAAGUCUCCCAUUCAAAUAAUUGUCUUCUGCUUGGUUUGUGAUGGAAGCAGUCUUGUUUGAAUAAAGCAAUCAGACUGGUUGAAAGGUAUAUCCAAAGGUUUCUUCUUACAUUUUAUUUCAACCACUAAUAAAAGAAGAGCCACCUUCUGUUUCUGUAGGUUUCUAAAUCUGUAAGUUUGGCUUUGAGGAUGAUUUUGCAUGUGGUAUGUGGCUAAUGUAUAUGUCUAUUAAAUAUUACAUUACAUCACAGUACACACCUACUACUUAAGCAGAGAAGCCACUUUUUGACUUUUGAUGCUGUGUGCUGUAAUCUAAAUAGUUAACAUUGUCAAAUAUUUUUGCUGAGUAACUUCUUUAUCCCACUGUUUUUUAGGACCAAAGUAGCUGCCUAUAAUGAAUCAGAAUUUCCUGCUUUCAAAUCAUUACUUCUCACGAAGGAAGAAGUAGAUGCAUGUUUUAAUUGGUCGGUGGAAUUUGUAUAACAAAAAAAAUGGGCUUGAAUAGUCAAAGGCUUGAUUACUUGUAGU
rnacentral:lncRNA from 1 species